UGGAGUGAGAGAAUGGGAGGU
rnacentral:miRNA from 1 species